rnacentral:rRNA from 1 species
UAUCUCUGUAGAGUCUGCAUAUCAAUAAGCGGAGGAAAAGAAACUAACUAGGAUUCCCUUAGUAACGGCGAGUGAAGCGGGAAGAGCUCAAAUUUGAAAUCUUCAAGGUUUUACCUUGACGAAUUGUAGUUUAAAGAAGUGUUUUCUGUUGGAGUUUUGGUAAAAGUUCUUUGGAAUAGGACAUCAUAGAGGGUGAGAAUCCCGUAUUUGACCAUUACUUCCAGCUUUGUGAUACACUUUCAAAGAGUCGGAUUGUUAGGGAAUGCAGUCCAAAAUGGGUGGUAAAUUUCAUCUAAAGCUAAAUAUUGGCGAGAGACCGAUAGCGAACAAGUACCGUGAGGGAAAGAUGAAAAGAACUUUGAAAAGAGAGUUAAACAGUACGUGAAAUUGUCAAAAGGGAAGCGUUUGACACCAGUGUUGUUUUCUCGAAAAUCAAUUAAAAAAGGCAGGAUUUUGUGUUGUAUUGACUUUAUCAGCUUUCUGCACUCUUUUCUUGUCUUUUUUAAUGCACUUUUCGUUUAACAAGUCAACAUCAAUUUCUUUUGUUGUAAAAGGGUCAUUGGAAGGUGGCUUUCUUUUCGGAGAAAGUGUUUAUAGCCUUUGGCCUCUGCAAUCGGAGAGAUUGAGGUCUGCAGCGUAGAUCCUUCGGGGUUAGAUACAUUUGUGCUAAGUUAUAGCCUUUCAUAGACAACUUGUUGACUAUGAUCAGUCAUGUAGCUUACUCGCUUAUGCUAUUUUACCUACGCUUAGGAUGUUGAAGAUGUAGCACAUCAU